rnacentral:rRNA from 1 species
GACAGAGGGUGCAAACGUUGUGCGGAAUUACUGGGCGUAAAGCGCGUGUAGGCGGCUCGGAAAGUCGGAUGUGAAAGCCCUGGGCUUAACCUAGGAAGUGCAUUCGAAACUCCCGUAGCUUGAGUUCUGGAGAGGAAGGCGGAAUUCUCGGUGUAGAGGUGAAAUUCGUAGAUAUCGAGAGGAACACCGGUGGCGAAGGCGGCCUUCUGGACAGUGACUGACGCUGAGACGCGAAAGCGUGGGGAGCAAACAGG